AGGGCGUACAGUGGAUGCCUUGGCACCGAAAGACGAUGAAGGACGCGACUACCUGCGAUAAUCCUCGGCGAGCUGGAAGUAAGCUUUGACCCGAGGGUCUCCGAAUGGGGAAACCCGAUGCGCGUUAUGGCGCACCACCUGACCGGCCAAUACAUAACCGGCAGGAGACAACCCUGGGAAUUGAAACAUCUAAGUACCAGGAGGAAAAGAAAGAGAAUUCGAUUCCGUCAGUAGCGGCGAGCGAAAGCGGAAGAGCCUAAACCACCUUGAGUGGGGUUCGGGAUCACAUCAGUAUAAGUAGACACAAGGAGAAUUACCUGGAAUGGUAAGCCAAAGAGGGUGAAAGCCCCGUACCUGUAAAAAUGCUACUUGUCGUGAUUUCCAGAGUACGGCGGGACACGUGAAAUCCUGUCGGAAUGUGCGGAGACCACUCCGUAAGGCUAAAUACUCUUCGGUGACCGAUAGUGAACCAGUACCGUGAGGGAAAGGUGAAAAGAACCCCGGGAGGGGAGUGAAAAGAAUCUGAAACCGUAUGCCUACAAAAAGUCAGAGGGCGUUAAAGCCUGAUGACGUGCCUAUUGAAGAAUGAGCCGGCGAGUUAUGAACACAUGCGAGGUUAAGGAGAAGAUCCGGAGCCGAAGCGAAAGCGAGUCUUAACAGGGCGACAGUAUGUGUUUGUAGACCCGAAACCCGACGAUCUAGCCAUGAUCAGGAUGAAGUAAGGGUAAAACCUUAUGGAGGUCCGAACCGACGUUCGUUGAAACGCCCGCGGAUGAAUUGUGGCUCGUGGUGAAAUUCCAAUCGAGUCGGGUAAUAGCUGGUUCUCCCCGAAAUAGCUUUAGGGCUAGCCUUGGGACAUUGUUUAGUGGGGGUAAAGCACUGAAUAUGAGCGAGCCGCGCCAAGCGGUAUCAAUCAUAAUCAAACUCUGAAUCCCAUUAGAUGUACCCCAGGAGUCAGACUACGGGAGAUAAGUUCCGUGGUCAAGAGGGCAACAGCCCAGACCGCCGAUUAAGGUCCCUAAAUUCACGCUAAGUGUCAAAGGAUGUAGAGAUACUCAAACAGCUAGGAUGUUGGCUCAGAGGCAGCCAUCAUUUAAAGAAUGCGUAACAGCUCACUAGUCAAGUGUCUCCGCGCCGAAAAUUUACCGGGGCUAAGCGUGAUACCGAAAUCGCGGAUGAAUCCUAAAAAUUCGUGGUAGGGGAGCGUUCUGUUUGCAGUGAAGCCAUAUCGUGAGGAGUGGUGGAGCGUACAGAAGCGAGAAUGCCGGCGUAAGUAACGAUAAAGGGUGAGAAUCCCUUUCACCAAUUGACUAAGGUUUCCUGGGCAAGGUUCGUCCUCCCAGGGUUAGUCGGGACCUAAGGCGAGGCCGACAGGCGUAGUCGAUGGACAGCAGGUUGAUAUUCCUGCACCCGAGCACGCAGUGAUGCAAUGACGAAAACGGCUAUGCUCACCUCCGAUCGGAAGUGGAGGGCAGAGCGUAGGAGUCGAUUCCUUGUUAAGUACGGGAAUCAUUAAGACAAAGACGUGCGGUAUGAAAGUCGCGAGACGAGUAAGAAACAGCAGACGCCGAUUUCCAAGAAAAGUUGCUAACGUUAAACGUGUUCGGCCCGUACCGAGAACGGACACACGUGGUCAAGGAGAAUAUCCUGAGGUGAGCGAGAUAACUGUUGUUAAGGAACUCUGCAAAAUAACUUCGUAAGUUAGCAAGAAGAAGUGCUCCAGCGAUGGAGCCGCAGCGAAUCGGCCCAAGUAACUGUUUACCAAAAACACAGCUCUAUGCUAAGUCGCAAGACGAUGUAUAUGGGGUGACGCCUGCCCGGUGCCGGAAGGUUAAAAGGAGAGGUUAGGAGCAAUCCGAAGCUUUGAAUUGAAGCCCCGGUGAACGGCGGCCGUAACUAUAACGGUCCUAAGGUAGCGAAAUUCCUUGUCAGGUAAGUUCUGACGUGCACGAAUGGUGUAAUAAUUUGGGCGCUGUCUCGACAGCAGACUCGGUGAAAUCUUAAUACCGGUGAAGAUGCCGGUUACCCGCGACUAGACGGAAAGACCCCAUGGAGCUUUACUAUAACUUAAUAUUGAGUAAAUGCGAAUCUUGUACAGUAUAGGUGGGAGACUUUGAAGUCGGGGCGUCAGCUUCGAUGGAGUCGCCGUUGGGAUACCACUCUGGAUUUGCAUUUAUUCUAACUCCUACCCUGGAUGGGCGGGAGGACAGUGUUAGGCGGGUA
rnacentral:rRNA from 1 species